CUACGGGUUGCUGCAGUGAGGAAUAUUGCACAAUGGGGGGAACCCUGAUGCAGCAACGCCGCGUGGAGGAUGACGCAUUUCGGUGUGUAAACUCCUUUUAUAUGUCAAGAAAAUGACGGUAGCAUAUGAAUAAGCACCGGCUAACUCCGUGCCAGCAGCCGCGGUAAUACGGAGGGUGCAAGCGUUAUUCGGAAUCACUGGGCGUAAAGGACGCGUAGGCGGGUUGGUAAGUCUGAUGUGAAAUCCUACAGCUUAACUGUAGAACUGCAUUGGAAACUACUAACCUAGAGUAUGGGAGGGGGAGAUGGAAUUAGUGGUGUAGGGGUAAAAUCCGUAGAUAUCACUAGGAAUACCGAAAGCGAAGGCGAUCUCCUGGAACAUUACUGACGCUAAGGCGUGAAAGCGUGGGGAGCAAACGGGAUUAGAUACCCGUGUAGUC
rnacentral:rRNA from 1 species